rnacentral:tRNA from 1 species
GGAUAUAGCUCAGUUGGUAGAAUGCUUGCCUUGCAUGCACAAAGCCCUGGGUUCAAUACCCAGCACCA